rnacentral:rRNA from 1 species
UGCACGAAGCUGGAAUCGCUAGUAAUCGCGGAUCAGCACGCCGCGGUGAAUACGUUCCCGGGCCUUGUACACACCGCCCGUCACACCAUGGAAGUCUGCAAUGCCCGAAGCCGGUGGCCUAACCACUUAUGUGGAAGGAGCCGUCUAAGGCAGGGGCAGAUGACUGGGGGUGAAGUCGUAACAAGGUAGC